UAGGGAAUAUUGGUCAAUGGAUGGAAGUCUGAACCAGCCAUGCCGCGUGCAGGAAGACGGCCUUCUGGGUUGUAAACUGCUUUUGCCAGGGGCUAAAAAGCUCAUGCGUGAGAAAUUGAAAGUACCUGGUGAAUAAGCCACGGCUAACUACGUGCCAGCAGCCGCGGUAAUACGUAGGUGGCAAGCGUUGUCCGGAUUUAUUGGGUUUAAAGGGUGCGUAGGCGGCUUUGUAAGUCAGUGGUGAAAUAUGGCAGCUCAACUGUCAGGGUGCCAUUGAUACUGCGGAGCUUGAGUACAGAUGAGGUAGGCGGAAUUGACGGUGUAGCGGUGAAAUGCUUAGAUAUCGUCAGAACACCGAUAGCGAAGGCAGCUUACUAGGCUGUAACUGACGCUGAGGCACGAAAGUGUGGGGAUCAAACAGGAUUAGAUACCCUGGUAGUCCACACUGUAAACGUUGAUGACUCGCUGUUGGCG
rnacentral:rRNA from 1 species